AUCAGAGAAUUUGUUACAGGUGGAGCUUUCCAGAUGAAACUUUCUUUCCAGAUUUAGUUUCAUCUGGAAAGUUCCACCUGUAACAAAUUUUCUGA
rnacentral:pre_miRNA from 1 species